CUAGUGCUCCCUCCGUCUCAAAAUUCUUAUCUUAUAUUUGUUUAGAUAUGAAUGUAUCUAGUUACGUUUUAUUAUUUAGAUAUAUUCAUUUUUAGAUAAGCCUAAGACAAGAAUUUUGAGACAGAGGGAGUACUAU
rfam:Hordeum vulgare subsp. vulgare, WGS project CAJW01000000 data, contig: morex_contig_43345